AGCGUUAUCCCGGAUCUAUUGGUUCUAAAGGGUACGUAGCCGGGAAACUAAGCUCAGUUGGUGAAAUCCCUGGCAGCUCAACUGUUAGAACUGUCAAUUGAUACUGGUUUCCCUGAAUGUAGUUGAGGUAGGCGGAAUGUGUAAUGUUGCGGUGAUAUGCUUAGAUAUUACACAGAACUCCGAUUGCGAAGGCAGCUUAAUGAACUACGAUUGACGCUGAGGUACGAAAGCGUGGGGAGCGUACAGGAUUAGAUACCCUGGUAGUCCACGCUGUAAACGAUGAUCACUCGUUGUUGGCGAUAUACUGUCAGCGAAUGAGCGAAAGCAAUAAGUGAUCCACAUGGGGAGUACGACCGCAAGGUUGAAACUCAAAGGAAUUGACGGGGCCCCGCACAAGCGGAGGCACAUGUGGUUUAAUUCGAUGAUACGCGAGGAACCUUACCUGGGCUUAAAUGCAGAACGACGGACCGGGAAACUGGUCUUUCUUCGGACGGACUGCAAGGUGCUGCAUGGCUGUCGUCAGCUCGUGCCGUGAGGUGUCGGGUUAAGUCCCAUUACGAGCGCAACCCUCAUCAUUAGUUACCAGCGGGUAAUGCCGGGGACUCUAAUGAAACUGCCGGUGUAAACCGAGAGGAAGGUGGGGAUGACGUCAAGUCAGCACGGCCCUUAUGUACAGGGCUACACACGUGUUACAAUGGUCGGUACAAAGGGCAGCUACCUGGCAACAGGAUGCUAAUCUCGAAAACCGAUCUUAGUUCGGAUCGAAGUCUGCAACUCGACUUCGUGAAGCUGGAUUCGAUAGUUAAUCGCGCAUCAGCCAUCGGCGCAGGUGAAUACGUUC
rnacentral:rRNA from 1 species